GACGAACCGUGCGAACGUUAUUCGGAAUCACUGGGCUUAAAGCGCGUGUAGGCGGGACGGCACGUCGGUCGCUGAAAGCCCCCGGCUCAACCGGGGAACGGGCGCCGAUACGACCGUCCUGGAGGGACGUAGGGGGACCUGGAACUUCCGGUGGAGCGGUGAAAUGCGUUGAGAUCGGAAGGAACGCCCGUGGUGAAAGCGAGGUCCUGGACGUUUUCUGACGCUGAGACGCGAAAGCCAGGGGAGCGAACGGG
rnacentral:rRNA from 1 species